rnacentral:lncRNA from 1 species
AACAAAUGGAAAGCUUGACAGAUGAAUAAGACUUUUCUCAUGAUUUUAAAAAAUGAAAAUGCAACAGCAAAGCAAAUAUCACCACCGAAGUUAUUCCGAAGAAACUGCCUUUGGUAUGUAGGCUGGAGCAAAGACUCCAAAGCCUCCCCUCGAUCUCCCAUCAGAAUCCUCCACUUUUGCUGUAUUUCCUAAUUUUGUAGACUCUAUUGCUGAGCUCUUUAUCAAACCAGUGUGCAAUAAAAAAGCCUCCACCGUUCUACUAACUUGCAAUUUUCUCCCUCCUCCUGGACAGAGGCCACUAGGAAGGGAAAGCCUCAAAAAAAAAAAAAAAAAAAAAGAGGAGUGAAAGCGAAGAAACAAUAGACAACCGUGGCUUUGACAAUGCCUUCCCUCAACCCCCUUUCUGCUCCUGCUGUGACACUUGCAUUCAAGAGCAAGGACGUCUGCCAUCCGAUGCAUGGACAAUGGAAUGAGGAAUACAAGGCAGCGGGGAAGAAAGGAAAUCAGAUGAAUUCUGAGCUAAGAUGGCAGGGUUCUCACCUUUUCCAUUUUGGGGAAUUUUUUUGUUUUUUGGGUUUUUUUUUUUUUUUUUGCCAAAAAUAAAAAGUCUGGAUGGAGUCUUCCCGCAGAGAAGAAAUAAAAAGAGUGUUUGAAUUGUUGGAUGGUUCUGAAGGCUUCUGAAUUUGCAAACGAAUUUUAGAACUAUUUGCAGAGGUCUACUUGCUGCCAGUCAUCUCUCUCUCUCUCUCUUUCUCUUCUGUUUUAUGUCCUGCUAUCUCCAUCAUGCCUCUGUUACUAUGAAGACUUUCUGCCUGUAAACCUCAAAAAAAUCGACCCUUCCGAAAACCAAUGCUCUGCCUUUCGUUUUCAAGGACAUUAAAAUAUUGCUAACUUGAAUACACAAGAAGAAAGAGGGUGGUAUAAGUAACAGCUGAUCUCACUCCCUUUUAAAUAUAAA